UGAUGCUGACAUAUUGACAUUCUGCUU
rnacentral:piRNA from 1 species